rnacentral:rRNA from 1 species
AUUGAACGCUGGCGGCAGGCCUAACACAUGCAAGUCGAGCGGGGUUUUCGGACCUAGCGGCGGACGGGUGAGUAACACGUAGGUAAUCUGCCCUCGAGUGGUGGAUAACUCUCCGAAAGGGGAGCUAAUACAGCAUAAGACCACGAUUCUCCGGAGUCGCGGUCAAAGCGGGCCUCUCCAUGGAAGCUCGUGCUUGAGGAUGAACCUGCGGCCCAUCAGCUAGUUGGCGGUGUAAUAGACCACCAAGGCUAAGACGGGUAGCUGGUCUGAGAGGAUGAACAGCCACACUGGAACUGAGACACGGUCCAGACUCCUACGGGAGGCAGCAGUGGGGAAUCUUGCGCAAGGGGGGAAACCCUGACGCAGCGACGCCGCGUGAGCGAUGAAGGCCUUCGGGUUGUAAAGCUCUGUGGAGAGGGACGAAUAAGUGCAAGCUAACAUCUUGCAUGAUGACGGUACCUCUUUAGCAAGCACCGGCUAACUCUGUGCCAGCCGCCGCCGUAACAC